UACAGAGGUCCCGAGCGUUGUUCGGAUUCACUGGGCGUAAAGGGUGCGUAGGUGGCGAGGUAAGUCGGAUGUGAAAGCUCGGAGCUCAACUCCGAAAUGGCAUUGGAAACUACCUUGCUCGAGGGUUGGAGGGGGGACUGGAAUACUUGGUGUAGCAGUGAAAUGCGUAGAUAUCAAGUGGAACACCAGUGGCGAAGGCGAGUCCCUGGACAACUCCUGACACUGAGGUGCGAAAGCGUGGGGAGCAAACAGG
rnacentral:rRNA from 1 species